rnacentral:rRNA from 1 species
UACGGGGGGGGGCAAGCGUUGUUCGGAAUUACUGGGCGUAAAGGGCUCGUAGGUGGCCAACUAAGUCGGACGUGAAAUCCCUCAGCUUAACUGGGGAACUGCGUCCGAUACUGGAUGGCUCGAGUUUGGGAGAGGGAUGCGGAAUUCCUGGUGUAGCGGUGAAAUGCGCAGAUAUCAGGAGGAACACCGGUGGCGAAGGCGGGUCUCUGGGCCGAUACUGACGCUGAGGAGCGAAAGCGUGGGGAGCGAACAGG